GUGGGGAAUAUUGGACAAUGGGCGAAAGCCUGAUCCAGCCAUGCCGCGUGUGUGAAGAAGGUCUUCGGAUUGUAAAGCACUUUAAGUUGGGAGGAAGGGCAGUAAGUUAAUACCUUGCUGUUUUGACGUUACCGACAGAAUGAGCACCGGCUAACUUCGUGCCAGCAGCCGCGGUAAUACGAAGGGUGCAAGCGUUAAUCGGAAUUACUGGGCGUAAAGCGCGCGUAGGUGGUUUUGUAAGUUGGAGGUGAAAUCCCCGGGCUCAACCUGGGAACUGCCUCCAAAACUGCAUGACUAGAGUACGGUAGAGGGUAGUGGAAUUUCCUGUGUAGCGGUGAAAUGCGUAGAUAUAGGAAGGAACACCAGUGGCGAAGGCGACUACCUGGACUGAUACUGACACUGAGGUGCGAAAGCGUGGGGAGCAAACAGGAUUAGAUACCCGAGUAGUCC
rnacentral:rRNA from 1 species